GGCUGUAUAGCUCAGUUGGUAGAGCUCUUGUCUAGCAUGUACAAGGUCCUGGGUUCAAUCCCCAGUACCA
rnacentral:tRNA from 1 species